rnacentral:rRNA from 14 species
UUAUCUGGUCAAAGAACAGUUUCAGGCGGGCAGUUUGACUGGGGCGGUCGCCUCCCAAAUGGUAACGGAGGCGUACAAAGGUUUCCUCUGAACGGGUAGAAAUCGUAUCUAGAGUGUAAAGGCAAAAGGAAGCUUGACUGUGAGACCUACAAGUCGAGCAGGGACGAAAGUCGGUCUUAGUGAUCUGACGGUACUGAGUGGAAAGGCCGUCACCCAACGGAUAAAAGUUAC